rnacentral:rRNA from 1 species
AUUGAACGCUGGCGGCAGGCUUUACACAUGCAAGUCGAACGAGUGGCGGACGGGUGAGUAAUGCUUGGGAAUCUACCUUAUGGAGGGGGAUAACUACGGGAAACUGUAGCUAAUACCGCGUACCAUUGGAUGGGCCCAAGGGGGAUUAGGUAGUUGGUGAGGUAAAGGCUCACCAAGGCGACGAUCCCUAGCUGGUUUGAGAGGAUGACCAGCCACACUGGGACUAAGACACGGCCCAGACUCCUACGGGAGGCAGCAGUGGGUAAUAUUGGGCAAUGGGGGCAACCUGACGCAGCCAUGCCGCGUGAAUGAAGAAGGCCUUCGGGUUGUAAAGUGCUUUUGGUAGCGAGGCGUUAGCUACAGAAGAAGCACCGGCUAACUACGUGCCAGCAGCCGCGGUAAUUC